CCUACGGGAGGCAGCAGUGGGGAAUAUUGCGCAAUGGGCGAAAGCCUGACGCAGCGACGCCGCGUGAGGAAUGAAGGUCUUCGGAUCGUAAACCUCUGUCAGCAGGGAAGAACGGUCACUGUGCUAAUCAGCAGUGAAUUGACGGUACCUGCAAAGGAAGCACCGGCUAACUCCGUGCCAGCAGCCGCGGUAAUACGGAGGGUGCGAGCGUUAAUCGGAAUUACUGGGCGUAAAGCGCUCGUAGGCGGUAUGUCAAGUCAAGGGUGAAAUCCCCGCGCUCAACGUGGGAACUGCCUUGGAAACUGGCAAACUGGAGUGUGUGAGAGGAUAGUGGAAUUCCAGGUGUAGGAGUGAAAGCCGUAGAUAUCUGGAGGAACAUCAGUGGCGAAGGCGACUAUCUGGCACAUAACUGACGCUGAGGAGCGAAAGCGUGGGUAGCAAACAGGAUUAGAUACCCCGGUAGUC
rnacentral:rRNA from 1 species